AAAAGGGGCUUCUGUGGUGAGUGGCACAUGUAGGGCAGCUUGAUUGCUCUGUGUGCGGAAUCGACACCAAGAGAUUUCAGGAGCAUAAUAUUUUGGUGCUUGGGCAACGGGUGAUAGUUGGUCCUGGAGCCCUG